GCUAGGUGCAGUGGCGGGCACCUGUAAUCCAAGCUACUCUGGAAGCUGAGGCAGGAGAAUCACUUGAACCCAGGAGGCAGAGGUUGCAGUGAGCAGAGAUCGUGCCACUGCACUCCAGCCUGGGUAACAGAGUGGGACUCUGUCUCAA
rfam:Pan troglodytes isolate Yerkes chimp pedigree #C0471 (Clint) chromosome 9, whole genome shotgun sequence.